GGCCGCGUAGCGCAGUGGAUAACGCGUCUGCCUACGGAGCAGAAGAUUGCAGGUUCGAAUCCUGCCGUGGUCG
rnacentral:tRNA from 1 species